AACGAACGCUGGCGGCAUGCCUAACACAUGCAAGUCGAACGAGACCUUCGGGUCUAGUGGCGCACGGGUGCGUAACGCGUGGGAACCUGCCCUUAGGUUCGGAAUAACUCCCCGAAAGGGGUGCUAAUACCGGAUAAUGUCUUCGGACCAAAGAUUUAUCGCCUUUGGAUGGGCCCGCGUUGGAUUAGCUAGUUGGUAGGGUAAAAGCCUACCAAGGCGACGAGCCAUAGCUGGUCUGAGAGGAUGAUCAGCCACACUGGGACUGAGACACGGCCCAGACUCCUACGGGAGGCAGCAGUGGGGAAUAUUGGACAAGGGGCGAAAGCCUGAUCCAGCAAUGCCGCGGUAGUGAUGAAGGCCUUAGGGUUGGAAAGCUCUUUUACCGGGAUGAUAAUGACAGUACCGGGAGAAUAAGCUCCGGCUAACUACGUG
rnacentral:rRNA from 1 species